rnacentral:rRNA from 1 species
UACGGAGGGGGCGAGCGUUAAUCGGAAUUACUGGGCGUAAAGCGCACGUAGGCGGUUGGGUAAGUCGGAUGUGAAAGCCCUGGGCUUAACCUGGGAACUGCCCCCGAUAAUCCCCGGCUAGAGUAUGGGAGAGGGAAGCGGAAUUUCCGGUGUAGCGGUGAAAUGCGUAGAUAUCGGAAGGAACACCAAUGGCGAAGGCAGCUUCCUGGCCCAAUACUGACGCUCAGGUGCGAAAGCGUGGGGAUCAAACAGG